AGAAUCAACGCUGGCGGCGUGCCUAACACAUGCAAGUCGCACGAGAAAGGGACUUCGGUCCUGAGUACAGUGGCGCACGGGUGGGUAACACGUGAAUAAUCUACCUCCGAGUGGGGAAUAACUGAGAGAAAUCUUAGCUAAUACCGCAUAACACUUACGAGUCAAAGCAGCAAUGCGCUUGGAGAGGAGUUCGCGGCAGAUUAGUUAGUUGGCGGGGUAAUGGCCCACCAGGACGAUGAUCUGUA
rnacentral:rRNA from 1 species